UCCUGGCUCAGGAUGAACGCUAGCUACAGGCUUAACACAUGCAAGUCGAGGGCGAGCGGGAAGUAGCUUGCAACUUGCCGGCGACCGGCGCACGGGUGAGUAACGCGUAUCCAACCUUCCCCUUAGUAGGGCAUAGCCCGUAGAAAUGCGGAUUAAUACCCUAUGUUAUUCGUCGAGGACAUCUGAAGUGAAUCAAAGGUUUACCGCUAAGGGAUGGGGAUGCGUCUGAUUAGGCAGCAGGCGGGGUAACGGCCCACCUGGCCGACGAUCAGUAGGGGUUCUGAGAGGAAGGUCCCCCACAUUGGAACUGAGACACGGUCCAAACUCCUACGGGAGGCAGCAGUGAGGAAUAUUGGUCAAUGGUCGAGAGACUGAACCAGCCAAGUAAGCGUGCAGGAUGACGGCCCUAUGGGUUGUAAACUGCUUUUAUGCGGGGAUAAAGUGACGUACGUGUACGUUUUUGUAGGUACCGCAUGAAUAAGGACCGGCUAAUUCCGUGCCAGCCGCCGC
rnacentral:rRNA from 1 species